rnacentral:rRNA from 1 species
CCAAUAGCGUAUAUUAAAGUUGUUGCAGUUAAAAAGCUCGUAGUUGAAUUUCGGGAUCAAUGUUUCGGUCAUGCCGUUGGUAUGUACUGAUAUUAUUGAUUUCUCACCUUCUAAAGAACCGUAAUGCCAUUAAUUUGGUGUCACGGGGAAUUAGGACUGUUACCUUGAAAAAAUUAGAGUGUUUAAAGCAAGCUAACGCUUGAAUACAUUAGCAUGGAAUAAUGAAAUAGGACGUUCGAUCCUAUUUUGUUGGUUUCUAGGAUUGACGUAAUGAUUAAUA